AUUGAACGCUGGCGGCAUGCCUUACACAUGCAAGUCGAACGGUAACAGAUCUUCGGAUGCUGACGAGUGGCGAACGGGUGAGUAAUACAUCGGAACGUGCCUAGUAGUGGGGGAUAACUACUCGAAAGAGUGGCUAACACCGCAUGAGAUCUACGGAUGAAAGCAGGGGAUCGCAAGACCUUGUGCUACUAGAGCGGCCGAUGGCAGAUUAGGUAGUUGGUGGGAUAAAAGCUUACCAAGCCGACGAUCGGUAGCUGGUCUGAGAGGACGAUCAGCCACACUGGGACUGAGACACGGCCAAGACUCCUACGGGAGGCAGCAGUGGGGAAUUUUGGACAAUGGGCGCAAGCCUGAUCCAGCAAUGCCGCGUGCAGGAUGAAGGACUUCGGGUUGUAAACUGCUUUUGUACGGAACGAAAAGCCCUGGGUUAAUACCCUGGGGUCAUGACGGUACCGUAAGAAUAAGCACCGGCUAACUACGUGCCAGCCGCCGCAGUAACAC
rnacentral:rRNA from 1 species